rnacentral:tRNA from 1 species
GCCUGGAUAGCUCAGUCGGUAGAGCACAUCCUUGGUAAGGAUGAGGUCAUGGGUUCAAUUCCCAUUCCAGGCU